rnacentral:tRNA from 1 species
UGGCUGAGCUGUAAAGCGCUUGACUUCUGAACGGGAGUCCCGGGUUCGAAUCCUGG